rnacentral:rRNA from 1 species
GAGUUUGAUCGUGGCUCAGAAUCAACGCUGGCGGCGUGCCUCAGACAUGCAAGUCGAACGCGAAAGGUUCCUUCGGGAACCGAGUAGAGUGGCGCACGGGGUGAGUAACACGUAGGUAAUUUGCCUUUGGGUGGGGAAUAACUCAGGGAAACUUGAGCUAAUACCGCAUAAUGCAGCGGCUCGACAUCGAGACAGUUGUUAAAGCGGGGGAUCGCAAGACCUCGCGCCUAAAGAGAAGCCUGCGGCAGAUUAGCUAGUUGGUAGGGUAAUGGCCUACCAAGGCAACGAUCUGUAACCGGCCUGAGAGGGCGGUCGGUCACACUGACACUGACAUACGGGUCAGACUCCUACGGGAGGCAGCAGUCGGGAAUUUUGGGCAAUGGGCGAAAGCCUGACCCAGCAACGCCGCGUGAAGGAUGAAAUCCCUCGGGAUGUAAACUUCGCAAGAACAGGAAGAAUAAGUAGAAGCUAAUACCUUCUAUGAUGACGGUACUGUUUGUAAGCUCCGGCUAACUCCGUGCCAGCAG